UGAGGAAUAUUGGUCAAUGGACGCAAGUCUGAACCAGCCAUGCCGCGUGCAGGAAGACGGCUCUAUGAGUUGUAAACUGCUUUUGUACGAGGGUAAACUUAGAUACGCGUAUCUAACUGAAAGUAUCGUACGAAUAAGGAUCGGCUAACUCCGUGCCAGCAGCCGCGGUAAUACGGAGGAUCCAAGCGUUAUCCGGAUUUAUUGGGUUUAAAGGGUGCGUAGGCGGUUUUAUAAGCUAGAGGUGAAAUCUCGGGGCUCAACUCCGAAAUUGCCUCUAAUACUGUAGGACUAGAGAGUAGUUGCGGUAGGCGGAAUGUAUGGUGUAGCGGUGAAAUGCAUAGAUAUCACGCAGAACUCCGAUUGCGAAGGCAGCAUACCGGCGCCCGCACUGACGCUCAUGCACGAAAGCGUGGGGGAGCAAACAGGAUUAGAUACCC
rnacentral:rRNA from 1 species